UCAUUGUUCAAGCAGGUUGUGAUCUCAGUGCAAGACUGUUGUCAAAACAAGAACAAUCAUGUACUGGAAACUUAUUGGGUGCUGAAAGGACUUUAUGGAUGUCAAGUGAUUUACUUACUCUUCUCAUUCAUCCUAUAAGGUCAAAGCAUCAAACUCUAUUCUUAUGUCUGGGCUAUUUACUGCACACGUUGUCUCAGUGAAGCUAUUAAAUGAUGCUAAGGAAACAUUUGGAAAUCGGCUCCAAGCAGAAGAUCCAAAUUAACACAGAUGACGGGGAGACAGCUAACACAUGUCUGAAUUCCAUCAAAAUUUCUCCAGUUUGCCAAGUCAUUAGGUUUGGCAGCAAUACCUCCAGCCACGGAGAAGUUCCUCCAACCCUCAGCCUGUCAAUCAUUCUGCACAUAUUCUAGAAGAAGCUAUCCUUGAAGACUGAGAAAUGUGCUCCUUUUGAUUCUUCAGCCUGG